CCCCCCCGGCGCGCCCCGGGCGGGGCGGGGGCACGGGGGGAACGCGAAGAACCUUACCAGGUCUUGACAUACUAUGCAAAUCUAAGAGAUUAGACGUUCCCUUCGGGGACAUGGAUACAGGUGGUGCAUGGUUGUCGUCAGCUCGUGUCGUGAGAUGUUGGGUUAAGUCCCGCAACGAGCGCAACCCUUAUUAUCAGUUGCCAGCAUUAAGUUGGGCACUCUGGUGAGACUGCCGGUGACAAACCGGAGGAAGGUGGGGAUGACGUCAAAUCAUCAUGCCCCUUAUGACCUGGGCUACACACGUGCUACAAUGGAUGGUACAACGAGUUGCGAACUCGCGAGAGUAAGCUAAUCUCUUAAAGCCAUUCUCAGUUCGGAUUGAGGCUGCAACUCGCCUACAUGAAGUCGGAAUCGCUAGUAAUCGCGGAUCAGCAUGCCG
rnacentral:rRNA from 2 species